AUGGCUCAUUAAAUCAGUUAUCGUUUAUUUGAUAGUACCUUACCACUUGGAUAACCGUGGUAAUUCUAGAGCUAAUACAUGCUAAAAACCCCGACUUCGGAAGGGGUGUGUUUAUUAGAUAAAAAACCAAUGCCCUUCGGGGCUCUUUGGUGAUUCAUGAUAACCUAACGGAUCGCAUGGCCUUGCGCCGGCGACGGUUCAUUCAAAUUUCUGCCCUAUCAACUUUCGAUGGUAAGGUAUUGGCUUACCAUGGUUUCAACGGGUAACGGGGAAUUAGGGUUCGAUUCCGGAGAGGGAGCCUGAGAAACGGCUACCACAUCCAAGGAAGGCAGCAGGCGCGCAAAUUACCCAAUCCCGACACGGGGAGGUAGUGACAAUAAAUACUGAUACAGGGCUCUUUUGGGUCUUGUAAUUGGAAUGAGUACAAUUUAAACCCCUUAACGAGGAACAAUUGGAGGGCAAGUCUGGUGCCAGCAGCCGCGGUAAUUCCAGCUCCAAUAGCGUAUAUUAAAGUUGUUGCAGUUAAAAAGCUCGUAGUUGAAACUUGGGUCUGGCUAGCGGGUCCGCCUCACCGCGUGCACUUGUCCGGCUGGACCUUUCCUUCUGGAGAACCUCAUGCCCUUCACUGGGUGUGUUGGGGAACCAGGACUUUUACUUUGAAAAAAUUAGAGUGUUCAAAGCAGGCCUUUGCUCGAAUACGUUAGCAUGGAAUAAUAGAAUAGGACGUGCGGUCCUAUUUUGUUGGUUUCUAGGAUCGCCGUAAUGAUUAAUAGGGAUAGUCGGGGGCAUCAGUAUUCAAUUGUCAGAGGUGAAAUUCUUGGAUUUAUUGAAGACUAACUACUGCGAAAGCAUUUGCCAAGGAUGUUUUCAUUAAUCAGUGAACGAAAGUUAGGGGAUCGAAGACGAUCAGAUACCGUCGUAGUCUUAACCGUAAACUAUGCCGACUAGGGAUCGGGCGAUGUUUCUAUCUUGACUCGCUCGGCACCUUACGAGAAAUCAAAGUU
rnacentral:rRNA from 1 species